rfam:Medicago truncatula strain A17 chromosome 5, whole genome shotgun sequence.
GUUAACUGUGAUGAGUCUUUAACAGACCUGUAAUGAAUUGCGGGUAUGAUCGCAUUUUUAUUGAACAUCUAAGGGACUGAGUUAAC